AUUAAAUAUUUUUAUUUGCUGUGUUGCUCAUUAUUAAUUUUGAAACUUUUAUAUUAAAUCUGACAUUCCUUUUAGCUUUAAUAAACACAUACUCGUGCUUGUAUAUCCUCUGAAGUUUUGUAUUUCAGCGCGUAAUAAAAUAUUUUCUAGUAUCUAGAUACUUUCUGGUUUUGUAUUUGUGCUCAUAUAUUUUGACAAAGUAGGUGAGUUGGCGGCAAGGUGGUAAACGUCGCAAACCUGGCAAAUAUGGCAAGCAUGGAAAACAUGGAAAACAAGUUGGCGAGGGGAUAAAGUGGCAAAGUGGCAAAGUUGCGGUAUUAACGGUGUUAGCAUUGAAGGUGGUUGUGUCGAUGAUGCUUCUGCGAGCAUAAAUUUAUUUUGGUUUCUUCCUAGUGCGAGUGACGCUGGUCUACCGAUGUGCCAAUGUGCUGAUGUGUUCGAUGUACUAAGUUUUGAUGUUUAAACUGCGCUCCUUUUUGGGUAACCAUAAUUAAAAUAAUUUACCAUUUUCGCCUUUCUUUUUUUUUUUUUUUGGUCUCUUCGUAAAAUUACUUUGAUGAUGUACGAAAAAAAUGUCUGGCUAGAAUUAUUUAAAUGUUUCUUUAAAAACACACAAGGACGUAUUUCGAACUUUGGAGUAAUACGUGGGACUUAAUAUGGAACUAUUUAUUGAUCACUGGGAGAACAUGGACUGAAAGUACGUUUUCAAGGCUUAAAAGAAUAGUAACAAUUUAAUCUCAUGGUUCUAUUGGUUACGAGUACCGAUAACAUGAUAUUAAAACAGAAGAUUAGCGUUUAUUGUGCUGCGCCUAAAUUAUUGGUAUUUAUCGAAACCAUAAGAAGUCCUAUCUGCAAUAUCUUUUAUUAAUGGACAUGCCUAUUAAAUAAAUUUUUAUCGGAAAUAAUAUUUAGUUACAUAGACUUUUUGAAGAGGACUAAGAGACCCUCAUCAUUGACAACGGAAGAUCUAUGCAUCACUUAGCAGAAAAGAAAAGUAUCAUCAUCAUCAACUUUUUGAAGCUAAUUAUUGCGGCUAUCUAACUAAAUAAAACUUAUAAAUUUAUAAAGCUUAUAAAAAUUCAAAAAUGUAUAAUUGGUAUA